UGUUCAAUUAGAAGAAUUAUUAGAAGUUCGUCAUUCUGUAUUUAUAGUUGGAAAUGCUGGUACUGGAAAAACUCAAGUGUGGAGAACAUUGUUCAAGAGCUAUCAAAACGAUAAUAAGAAACCAAUAUAUAACGAUUUAAAUCCUAAGGCGGUCACAAACGACGAACUGUUUGGUAUUAUAAAUCCAGCCACUAGAGAGUGGAAAGAUGGCC